UUUAAACUGAAGGCUGCUGGCCCAGAUCUUUCUUCAUGAGGCAGAAAUGACUACUAUGCAGGCCUUUCCUGGCAGAAAUUUGACCAUCAUGUUCCUGGAAACCAUCAUAGAUGCCACAGCCACCUCUGAUCUGCUGUGCUGCACCCACCACAGUAAGGACUGUGACCAGAGCUUCUGCAUUCCUUCAUCCUAACCGGUUUCCUCCUUACUCGGUCCCUCGGCAUGGUACAGUUGUGUCACUGCGUACUCAGUGAUGCUGGUGCCCCCUCCAGGUUGGUAAGGCUGAGAGUGAUACUUUAUUCAGCAUACAACAUUUUGAUGAGCAAGAAAAGCCCCCAGAAACCUGUAACUUCUCCUCUUCAUCCUAGACCAAAGCAUGUCCUGGAUUUCCUGCUCUGCUAGGCUGCAAAAACCAUGGCUUUGGUGAGGAUUCUAGCUCAAGUCUCCAAUAAUGGAGUAGAAAACAGUUUUGCAAGAGGGCUGACUGAGCUAGAAUGGAUUUGUUAAUGAUCUCUGAACUCUCAAAGAAUUUGCCAGACCUUCCUGAAGCUAUUUUGUAUGUGGAAUAAAGACAUCCUUUCUCUGACAUCUAAGUAAAGUGCAAGGCAAACUCAUCUGCAUGCAGAGAUUUGUUCAUUUGUGAAUCCCCUAAAAUCCUUCUCUAAUAAAACCCGGUCAUGUGGCUGUUUGCAGAUACCAGCAAACAAAACAAA